UCAACGAGAUCGCAUGAUUUUGUUGGAAAAGGAGCAAUCCGCUUAAGGAUGGGCCCGCGGCCUAUUAGCUAGUUGGUAGGGUAAUGGCCUACCAAGGCGACGAUAGGUAGCCGACCUGAGAGGGUGAACGGCCACACUGGAACUGAGAAACGGUCCAGACUCCUACGGGAGGCAGCAGUAGGGAAUAUUCCGCAAUGGGCGAAAGCCUGACGGAGCAACGCCGCGUGAGUGAAGAAGGUUUUCGGAUCGUAAAGCUCUGUCAACAGGGACGAAACAAGACGGUACCUGAGAAGGAAGCCACGGCAAACUACGUGCCAGCAGCCGCGGUAAUACGUAGGUGGCAAGCGUUGUCCGGAAUAACUGGGCGUAAAGCGCAUGUAGACGGCAUGAUAAGCCAAAUGUGAAAUGUAGGGGCUCAACCCCUGCACUGCGAUUGGAACUGUCAAGCUUGAGUGCAGGAGAGGCAAAUGGAAUUCCCAGUGUAGCAGUGAAAUGCAUAGAGAUUGGGAGGAACACCAGUGGCGAAGGCGAUUUGCUGGACUGCAACUGACGUUGAGAUGCGAAAGCUAGGGGAGCAAACGGGAUUAGAUACCCCGGUAGUCCUAGCCGUAAACGAUGGAUACUAGGUGUAGAGGGUAUCGACCCCUUCUGUGCCGCAGCGAACGCAAUAA
rnacentral:rRNA from 1 species